GGGAAUUAGAGCUGUCUCCUUCAACUAAUACGGCAGCAUAGCAGAAGAUGCUGCCUGACAUGCUGGUUAUUUCCAUGGUCUUUGACAAUAUUUAUUCCACAGCAGCAGGCACUGAGUUAACCUUUCAGGAGAUGUCAACUGGAGGAUUCAGUUUUAAGGCUCUGCUCUCCCAAGAUCGGAUGUGAGUCAAACCAGAGACCCUCCUUGCAAACAUGUGCCUGCUACUAUCAGGAAAACCAGUGCAUAAGAACCUUCACUCUACCUUCCCAAACCAGGAUGACCCAUGUCAAAGUCAGCAGGAAAUUUACUUCAGUCACAAGAUGGCAAACAAAUAAAACUUCAGAUACUGAAACAAUUAUAGAAGGGAUGGAGAAACUCAACCAGUGAAUACGCGCAGUGGUUUCUACCCAAAAGGCACCAGCCAUUUCCAGGAAACAGCCUCUUCUUUCAGACUAACCUCAGCAUUGGAGCUUUGUGACCAAGUAAUGAUCAAGCCGCAGAUAACAGAGAACGGAAGCCCCUUCAAUGAGCAGCAGAGAAUUCGGAGAAUAUGGGUAGUGCCGGUUUCUUGAAAGUUGCCUGAUGUUGCAGCGAUCACAAGUUGUCAGGUGCUGCUAGACUGAGGUUUCUGAGAUAAGUCUGAUUUUACUCAUCUUCCUUUCGAUCCACAGACAUUUCAAAGUCUCUUAUUUUCAGUAUUAGGUUUAAAUAUUCUUGGUUGUGCUACUCAUAGGGCAUUAGGGGUGGCAUACUGCCUCUCGGCUCCUGUUUAAUCCUGACCUCUGCUGCUGUCUUCGCAGAGUUUGCCCAAUCUCUAUUUUCCCACUAGACGCUCCAGCUUCCUCCCACGUGCCAGACAAGCAGCUUGAUAGAUUAAUUGGCCACUGUAAGUCCCA